GACGAACGCUGGCGGCGUGCUUAACACAUGCAAGUCGAACGGAAAGGCCCUGCUUGCAGGGUACUCGAGUGGCGAACGGGUGAGUAACACGUGGGUGAUCUGCCCUGCACUUCGGGAUAAGCUUGGGAAACUGGGUCUAAUACCGGAUAGGAGCCAUCUUUAGUGUGGUGGUUGGAAAGUUUUUCCGGUGUAGGAUGAGCUCGCGGCCUAUCAGCUUGUUGGUGGGGUAAUGGCCUACCAAGGCGGCGACGGGUAGCCGGCCUGAGAGGGGGUACGGCCAAAUUGGGACUGAGAGACGGGCCAGACUGCGAAGGGGGGGAGGAGGGGGGAAUAUUGGACCAAGGGAGGAAGCCUGAAGGAGGGAGGCCGGCGGGGGGAUGAAGGCCUUCGGGUUGUAAACUCCUUUCGCUAGGGACGAAGCUUUUUUGUGACGGUACCUAGAGAAGAAGCACCGGCUAACUACGUG
rnacentral:rRNA from 1 species